CACUGCAUGUUGCUCCUACCAAUCAAAUGAUGUGGUGAACUAUUUAGAUCGCAAUGACAUGGGUGAUUCGUUGCCCACAAUGUCGCGAGAAGUACAUUGAACUUUAUCAUUUAGAGGAAUGAGAAGUCGUAAUAAGGUUUAAGUAGGUGACCAUGCAGAAG
rnacentral:ncRNA from 2 species